rnacentral:rRNA from 1 species
UACGUAGGGUGCAAGCGUUGUCCGGAUUUAUUGGGCGUAAAGAGCUCGUAGGCGGUUUGUUGCGUCCGCUGUGAAAACUCGGGGCUUAACCCCGAGCCUGCAGUGGAUACGGGCAGACUAGAGGUAGGUAGGGGAGAAUGGAAUUCCCGGUGUAGCGGUGAAAUGCGCAGAUAUCGGGAGGAACACCGGUGGCGAAGGCGGUUCUCUGGGCCUUACCUGACGCUGAGGAGCGAAAGCGUGGGGAGCGAACAGG